GCCUUCGUGGUGUAGUGGUCAGCACGCUCGGCGCGUAUUCGAGAGGUCCGUGGUUCGAGUCCCGGCAAGAGCA
rnacentral:tRNA from 1 species